rnacentral:rRNA from 1 species
UACGGGGGGGGCAAGCGUUGUUCGGAAUUACUGGGCGUAAAGGGCUCGUAGGUGGCCAACUAAGUCAUACGUGAAAUCCCUCGGCUUAACCGGGGAACUGCGUCUGAUACUGGAUGGCUUGAGGUUGGGAGAGGGAUGCGGAAUUCCAGGUGUAGCGGUGAAAUGCGUAGAUAUCAGGAGGAACACCGGUGGCGAAGGCGGAUCUCUGGGCCUGUCCUGACGCUGAGGCGCGAAAGCCAGGGGAGCGAACGGG